rnacentral:rRNA from 1 species
CAGUCGCCGCGGGAAUACGUAGGGUGCAAGCGUUAAUCGGAAUUACUGGGCGUAAAGCGUGCGCAGGCGGUUGUGUAAGACAGGUGUGAAAUCCCCGGGCUUAACCUGGGAAUUGCAUUUGUGACUGCACGACUAGAGUGUGUCAGAGGGGGGUGGAAUUCCACGUGUAGCAGUGAAAUGCGUAGAUAUGUGGAGGAACACCAAUGGCGAAGGCAGCCCCCUGGGAUAACACUGACGCUCAUGCACGAAAGCGUGGGGAGCAAACAGGAUUAGAUACCCGCGUAGUCCCUGUCUCUUAUAC